CUCCAUCCUGAGUCCUUCUUAUCAACACCAUCAGUUUUUCCACCAGAUGACGCUGUUCCGGCACCUCCCAUCCUGACUCCAAACCCUUUUCAGCUACCUCCCCUGCUUCCUCCAAACCCCAUUCAGCCUCCUCCCUUGCUUCCUCCCAACCCUUUUCAGCCACCUCCCCUGCUUCCUCCAAACCCCUUUCAGCCUCCUCCCUUGCUUCCUCCCAACCCUUUUCAGCCACCUCCCCUGCUUCCUCCAAACCCCUUUCAGCCUCCUCCCUUGCUUCCUCCCAACCCUUUUCAGCCACCUCCCCUGCUUCCUCCAAACCCCUUUCAGCCUCCUCCCUUGCUUCCUCCCAACCCUUUUCAGCCGCCACCAGCUCCACUUAUUCCAAACCCGUUUCAGCCUCCUCCAGCUCCACUUAUUCCAAACCCGUUUCAGCCUCCCCCGGCUCCACUUUUUCCUCCAAACCCGUUUCAGCCUCCCCCGGCUCCACUUUUUCCUCCAAACCCGUUUCAGCCUCCUCCAGCUCCACUUAUUCCAAACCCGUUUCAGCCUCCCCCGGCUCCACUUUUUCCUCCAAACCCGUUUCGGCCUCCUCGAGCACCUCCGUCACCAUUGUUUCCUUUUCCACCAAUUCCAGGGCUAACUCCACCAUCACCACCACCACCACCACCACCAUUCUUCCCAUUUC
rnacentral:lncRNA from 1 species